rnacentral:rRNA from 1 species
CCCUUAGAUGUUCUGGGCCGCACGCGCGCUACACUGAUGAAUGCAACGAGCUCUACCCUUGACCGAAAGGCCCGGGUAAACUUGUGAAACUUCAUCGUGAUGGGGAUAGAUUAUUGCAAUUAUUAAUCUUCAACGAGGAAUUCCUAGUAGACGCGAGUCAUAAGCUCGCAUCGAUUAAGUCCCUGCCCUUUGUACACACCGCCCGUCGCUACUACCGAUUGAACGUUUUAGUGAGGCAUUUGGACCGACGCAUCUCAGUUUAACCGCUGGUUUGUGUUGGAAAGACUUCCAAACUUGAGCGUUUAGAGGAAGUAAAAGUCGUAACA